AUGAACGAAAUCAGCAAGGGGGGAAGCCAUAGUUAGGGUUUUCAAGCUUCCAAGCUCCAUAAUCAAGAAGUACGAAACUCGAGGUUAGACAAAGGGAAGAAUAAAGUUGAAGACUAAGUUGGUGAAUUUGGCUAUAAUUGGUACCGAGUAUUGCAAAGCUACUUCAAGGAUCCUAAAGAAGUCGGAGAUCGUCCACACUAUCAACCACAACUGCUCGGUAUUUUAUAUCGAAUCACGUUUGAGUUAUGGCAUGUAUAGGGAUUUAGUUAUUUUGUAUGUUUGUAAUGAUGAUUUUGCUAAUGAGUGAUGUGUAAGUAUUUGAUGAUGUAUG